rnacentral:rRNA from 1 species
AGUGAACGCUGGCGGUAGGCCUAACACAUGCAAGUCGAACGGCAGCACAGUAAGAGCUUGCUCUUACGGGUGGCGAGUGGCGGACGGGUGAGGAAUACAUCGGAAUCUACUUUUUCGUGGGGGAUAACGUAGGGAAACUUACGCUAAUACCACAUACGACCUACGGGUGAAAGCAGGGGAUCUUCGGACCUUGCUCGAUUGAAUGAGCCGAUGUCGGAUUAGCUAGUUGGCGGGGUAAAGGCCCACCAAGGCGACGAUCCGUAGCUUGUCUGAGAGGAUGAUCAGCCACACUGGAACUGAGACACGGUCCAGACUCCUACGGGAGGCAGCAGUGGGGAAUAUUGGACAAUGGGCGCAAGCCUGAUCCAGCCAUACCGCGUGGGUGAAGAAGGCCUUCGGGUUGUAAAGCCCUUUUGUUGGGAAAGAAAAGCAGCAGGUUAAUACCCCGCUGUUCUGACGGUACCCAAAGAAUAAGCACCGGCUAACUUCGUG